rnacentral:ncRNA from 1 species
CUAGUGUGGCCCUGUCGUUGCCAAAUCAGCGACCGGGCCUGCAAGCCCGCUCA